CUCCAGCGCCUUCUUCCUCCUAGGUCCGAGGGUGACACGUCGCCGCUGGCCGUCGCAUGGGUGCCACACUAGGCGCCUUAAUCCCGCGCCGAUAGGUGCAGAGCAUCGAUCCCCAACUGCCACAUCUACACCGCCUCCAUCGCCUCCCUCGCCGUCGCAUGCAGCACCACUGCCAGGAGCUCGCCGAAGACCGAGCUCCACUACCGGUCGUCCGUUCAUCGCAUUUGUUACCCUCUGGGCAAAUCAAAUGCCACCACGAGCUUCCCUUCGACGAGCCAUACCUCCUCCACCCCUCCUCGACGUCGUCCAGGCGCCGGACCAUCGCCGCCCUCAGACAGCAGCACCCGCGGCCGCACGCCGACAAAAUUCGAUCCACCCCGAGCACCUCUGACGACGCGAUUGGGCUGACCAGUGCUGCCACCUGCCAUGGGAGCCGACCUCCCGAGUUGUUUUUGCAUCGAAGCCCCUGAAGAAACGUAUUCAACUCUACUCUGAUUGAUCCACUUUCUUAUGGGAUUUGGAAGGCAGAAGCGAUGCCUUCAUAAAGAUGCAAAAGAUUAUUUUCUCCCAAUGGCUACAUCAAUUUGGGUAAUAUCCAGAAUAGUAGUAGUACAAGCAAUAAUGUAAUAGUAAUUUUCAGAGCAUAAAAAAUUAUCACUGUGCUUCCAUGUUGCAACGCAGAUGCAUGCUAGAGUAGUAUUUUUCAUAAUUCAGAGUAGUAUUCUGUUCAUAUUCAAGUAGUAUUUUCACACUUCUGAGUAGUAUUGUUUCAUAAAUUAGAGUAGUAUUAUUUUCCUUACUCAAGUAGUAUUUUCCACAAUUUGGAGAAGUAUUUCAUAAUUAUGAGUAGUAUUUUUCGUAACACAAAGUAGUAUUUUUUGCGCUUUAUAGUUGUUCGUAACUUGUGAAUCAUACGACUAUGAGGUCAUGCUGCCACACAACAACACGACCACUUCAGCAGUCCAUGUGAAAUCAUACUAUGGUGAAAAUAAUUCUACAAGUCAUUAUGGUGUAAAUAAUUCUACAAGUCAUUAGCCAUGUUUUUUCUUGUUCUUGUAAGCUACGCGCUACUGAAGCUGGUAUGAUGAUUAAUUAAACUAAUCAAUUUGUUGUACUUCAUAGAAUGGAUAUUUGGGCUUCAAGAUACCAAAUUUGAAGUUUGGCAU